AGUGGCAGAAGGGUGAGUAACGCGUAGGUGACCAACCCCUAAGUGGGGGAUAACCGGAAGAAAUUCUGGCUGAUACCGCAUGAUGUGCUUGAGAGGUGAUUUUGAGCAUUAAAGCCAUUGGUGCUUAGGGAUGGGCCUGCGUCCUAUCAGGUAGUUGGUGAGGUAACGGCUCACCAAGCUGACGACGGGUAGCUGGUCUGAGAGGAUGGUCAGCCACACUGGGACUGCGACAAGGCCCAGACUCCUACGGGAGGCAGCAGCAAGGAAUAUUGCGCAAUGGGCGAAAGCCUGACGCAGCAACACCGCGUGGGAGAAGAAGGCUUUCGGGUUGUAAACCCCUUUUCUCGGGGAAGAAUAAUGACGGUACUCGGGGAAUAAGCCUUGGCUAACUACGUGCCAGCAGCCGCGGUAAGACGUAGAAGGCGAGCGUUAUCCGGAUUUAUUGGGCGUAAAGGACGUGUAGGCGGCUUGGAAAGUCCCCUGUGAAAUCUCUCGACUCAAUCGGGAGGGGUCAGGGGAAACUUCCAAGCUUGAGGGCAGCAGAGGGAGGUGGAAUUCCCGGUGUAGCGGUGAAAUGCGUAGAUAUCGGGAAGAACACCGGUGGCGAAGGCGGCCUCCUGGGCUGUCCCUGACGCUGAGGCGUGAAAGCGUGGGGAGCAAAC
rnacentral:rRNA from 1 species